rfam:Erinaceus europaeus unplaced genomic scaffold scaffold00163, whole genome shotgun sequence
GGCAGAUUAUGUCUGUUCUCAUGAUGGUCUUCAGAUGCCCACAGCAAUCACUGGUGAGAGAGCUAACUGCCUUGGCUGAUGCCAGGAA